rnacentral:rRNA from 1 species
AUUGAACGCUGGCGGCAGGCCUAACACAUGCAAGUCGAACGAGUGGCGGACGGGUGAGUAAGUUCUGGGAACGUGCCUGAUGGACGGGGAUAACUACUGGAAACGGUAGCUAAUACUGCAAAACAUCCGUUGGGCCCAGAGGGGAUUAGCUUGGUGGUGGGGUAACGGCUCACCAAGGCGACGAUCCCUAGCUGGUCUGAGAGGAUGACCAGCCACACUGGAACUGAGACACGGUCCAGACUCCGACGGGAGGCAGCAGUGGGGAAUAUUGCACAAUGGGCGCAAGCCUGAUGGAGCCAUGCCGCGUGUAUGAAGAAGGCCUUCGGGUUGUAAAGUACUUUCAGCGGGGAGGCGGUACCCGCCCAGGAAGCACCGGCUAACUCCGUGCCAGCAGCCGCGGUAAUAC